UCAGAUUUAAAUAUUAUACAAUGCUCAAAUGUUAUACACAAAUAGGAUCAAGAUGAACACAUAUUGCACAAGCAUUGAUAAUAUGUUCACAAACAUGCAUAUAUUGAUCAUAAGUUCAAAAACAGGACAGUCUUGACAAAGCAAAGUUUGGCCAUUUGGACCACCAUCCAGAAAACAGAAGCCACAUAAAAGGACCACUAUUUGUUGUUCUAAAGGAGUUCAAACACUAAAUGGUCCAGAAUAAAGUCACACCCAUGAGCACAAGAUAUAUGCCCGAAAACACUUGGAAGCACCAAAUGGUCCAGAACAGACAUAAGAUUCAUGAUCACAAGUUAGCUGGUCCAAAAUACCGCAAACAGCCAAAUGCUGCUGAACACUCCGAAGUCAUCACAUCCAUGCACAGUAGAUGGUUGAGUACCUGAAAAUGAAUGGUCAAAUUCUCGUAUGUUCACCCCAACGAUUUUGUGCACUUCAAAGUUUGAAAAUAAAUGUAAAAAGCAAAUGUAGUCGUAUGUUGUCUAAUGACCUAGAAUUAAAAUGUAUAACUUCAGACCCAAAAAACUACAGUAUGUGAAGUUUUGUAUAUGCCAUGUGAUCUUUAGAUUGUGACCAUCAAAGUGUUAACACCAAACUGAUAAAUGUAUGCUAACUACUAAGCAAUCUAUAUGAGCAUCAGAUUACGUCAUCUGAUUUCAUAUUUUUAAUUUUAAAACUGCAGUAUGUGGAGUUCGUUUUUAUAUACAAAACACGAGAAGUUAUCUAGUGAUGCUAUAAUUUCACAAAUAGGUAUUACAAUUUCAGAUACACUGAAGUGUUAUGUGUGACACAUUUUCCUCGCUUGCCAUUUGGUUUAAUCUGACGUAUGAUGGUUAAUCCAUGUACUAGUGUUCUUAGUUCAAUAUUAUCUGAUCGAUAAACUAGCUAAAUGAUAGGAAAAUCAGUCUUGGAGCAUUUGUGUGUUCAUAAAAAAUGAAAAGGGUUCCAAGAGAACUAUGGAAAAUGGUUCAUGGGUUGUAAAUAUUAUGUGUAAAUCAAAUGAUAACAUACUCACAUCGCCUGUUUCUUAUGCAAACUAUUUCAUUUCAUAGGUUGCUUCUUCCACUGCACGUUGCUAUGAAAAGUGUGAAGACAUGUAUCAACCACCCUGUGAAGAUGAAAACUAUGUUUAAUAAUAUAUAUAACUUGGCUAAUCCUAAAUCAAAUUAGUAAGUAGGCCAAGGGACUUCAAGUUAUGUCCUUGGUAAGUUUAUUGUAUGAACUUUUCAAAUGCACAAAUGAUUUUCAGGUAAUAUCAGGCCAUCACCAGAAUAAACACGAAUAUCUCACAAAAGUACCAUGUACGGACGUUAUUAAGAUUUAAGUACUGCCUUAUUCUUGAACAAGAUCGUCAUUAUUAUGAUUGAACUUCUUAUAUCUUCCUACUGCUUACAAUCAGAAUGGGGUUGAUAGGCUAUAAUUAGUUAUAAAUAUGCUCAAACCAAAAAUUAGCCAUCUUUCCCAUUUUAAGCAGACAUGUUAGCAAUAGUACCUUGGCCUGAUAGUGAUCGAGACACCAGACACAAACCUUGUUGUUUUGGUACCUGCCAGCACCACCACCAACAACAGCAUACCCAUUAGGUCCACAGUUCAUAUUAAAUGGCACAUGUGGAAUCAUAUACCCAACAGAAACAGCAGCAAGGUAACUAGGGAAAUCAAGGCCUGGAUAUUUUGAAGUGAAGGAAAUGAGUAAGAGAAAAUAAUGAUGCCAUAUCUAAAGGGUGAAUACAUCUAUAAAUAUCAUGAAUGCCAAGGGAAUGUCUACGUGCACAUGUCAAUAUAUCCCAACAUUCUAGGAUUUACCUGCAUAUGGAAAUAGAGAGCUCAAAUUAGGUGGGUAGUGAACAUCCUCAGACAACUUGCUUCAUAUCAAAUAUAUGGCUCACAUCUGACUGUUAAUGGUCCUGUGAUGGUAACACAAAUGGAGAUUCUACUUAACACCAAUACUUAUUACCACAAAUAGUCAGACAGUAGUAUCUGACACAUAAAUAUAUCUAUCUUCUAUCUCAUCUGGAGAUACGUGCAAUACAUACUACUUCUCUGUCCCAAGAAAAAAACUGAAAAACAAGAACCAAAGACAUGCAUCUGAACGCAUUUCAUUUGUUUGGAAAGAAGCAUCUGAACACAUAUAUGAAUGAAUGAUUCAUCACAUUAUCAUACUGCACGAGAUCGCCUUAGACCAUGCAUUGUUGUGCUUCAGCUAGUACACUAAAUUGAAGGCAUAGGCCAUGCAGCAGGUAUAUUUUUGACCUGAAUGUUUAACCACAAGUGCAAGCUACUGUAAAUUGCUCAGCGAAUGGCGCAUUCAAAUGACAGGGAGGGAACACAGCAAAGAAACUUAUAUAAAUGAAUGAAUUUCGUCUUCCAGAUUUUGAGGCCACAUAUUAAAAUGUAUUACUAUCUGAAGGAAAAAAAGAACGGAAAGGAACAUGUUAUUUACCUGGAAAAAGUUGGCAUUAUAGGCAAC
rnacentral:lncRNA from 1 species